UGCCUUACACAUGCAAGUCGAACGGCAGCACGGGAGCAAUCCUGGUGGCGAGUGGCGAACGGGUGAGUAAUAUAUCGGAACGUGCCCAGUCGUGGGGGAUAACGUAGAGAAAUUUACGCUAAUACCGCAUACGAUCCACGGAUGAAAGCGGGGGAUUCUGCAAAGGGCCUCGCGCGACUGGAGCGGCUGAUAUCAGAUUAGGUUGUUGGUGAGGUAAAAGCUCACCAAGCCGAUGAUCUGUAGCUGGUUUGAGAGAACGACCAGCCAUAUUGGGACUGAGACACGGUCCAGAUUUUUACGGGAGGCAGCAGUGGGGAAUUUUGGACAAUGGGCGCAAGCCUGAUCCAGCAAUGUCGCGUGCAGGAAGAAGGCCUUCGGGUUGUAAACUGC
rnacentral:rRNA from 1 species